ensembl:lncRNA
ACCAUUGCACUGCGGCCUUCUCACCCUCCGGUCGCUUCAUAGCUACUGGCUCAGAGGACCAUUCUGCCUAUAUAUAUGACACAUGCAGAAGCAACUUUCUCCAUAAGCUCCCGAGACACUCUGAAACGGUCCUGAUUGUGGCUUUCAACCCUGCGAAUCCAGAGCUGUUGACUGGAACGCUCGAUGGAAAGCUGGCUUUGUUUCAUCCGGCCGAAUCUCUUCUCCCUUAAGU